GAUCGAUACAUAAUUGAAAUUUACUGAAUUCGCCACACUCGAUUGCAACUCUGGAGAAUUUUGACGUUUCUCUUUGUCAGAUUCGUUUCUGUAUUUGUGAAGUUCUUAACGUCAAGUUGGGAUCAGCAGUCAUAUCCACUAUUUGAAGAAAUCCAAUUUUAUUCCAAAUUAAAAUUAAAAUGUUGGGUCGCACAGGUCUUUUGGCACGCAAUAUCACCCAGAGUUUGGUCAGACACCACAGCCAUGGUGGUAUUCCCGGCGAGAACUUGCCUUUCGGUUUGAAUAAUCGCUACAAGUUGACCGCUUACUUUAUACUUUUCUUUGGUUCUGGAUUGGCUGCUCCGUUCUUGGUCGUCAGACACCAACUGCUGAAGAAGUAAAAUUUAAGUUUCAACUUUAUAAGCAAAAAUGAUGGCAAACUUUUAAAGGCUAUGACCAACUAUUUAAAAGUGUGUUAUGUAUGAUUAAGAUUAAAGUGAAACAAUUUUCACCAAUAAAACGAAUGUCAUACCCAAAAGCCUUAAUUUUUUAAUUAUUAUUUUGCAAGCGUACUGCUCUAAAUAAACGGAACAAUAUUAAAACUUCUGAAUUUAAAGUAAAAAUACAAUGAACGGAGAUGGUGGAUAUGAGUCAUUACAUAGAGCUGAAAAAAUAACAAUACUUGUUAGGAAAGUAAAUGUAUAUGCAUGUGUACACAGGUGCUCCUUAAAGUGAUAGGUAAGAGAUAUUUUUCCCCUAUGGGUGCGCACAGAGUGGGCGCUUAAAGCCGAACCGAGCGGAAAUUCGCGUGUUGCGUAAAUGGGAAAAUGCGCUCGGCUCGGCUUCAAGCGUUCACUCUGCAGGCACCCUAUGAGUUUGUCGGAAUAAAUGAUAAGAUGGGAGAAUUGCCUAUUUUAUUUAAUAUCAAACAUUUCCAAAUUCCACAAAGCUUUAGGGAAUUUACAAAUGUAAAUACUGUAGAUAUUUAAAUAAAAUUGUCUUAAUGCCACCUCGCUUCGAAGAAAAUGUUUCAAAGUUAAAAGAAAGUAUACAUUGACAUAAUUGUUAAAAACUGUCAUCGACAAAAAAAAAACUUUCAGGGCACACACACCUAAAGCCUAUAUAAAUAUACAAACAUUGUAUAGUAAAUUGGCUAAACUUUUGAUUGAACAUAAUAAAAUAUACAAAGAUGACUGGUCGAUUGGGUAUGCUUACCCAUAGUUUACGUCAGUUUUCAACCACAAUGGUACGUCAAGGCGGACAUGGCAGACCUGGUUGUCCGGGCGAAAACCUUCCAAUAAACUUGAAUGCUGGAAAAUUCAAAAUAACUAUGAUUAUGACACUAUUUUUUGGCAUUGGCUUGGGCGCUCCUUGGCUUGUCGUUAUGUGGUCAAUGGUGAAAGGCAAAUAAUGUUGAAAUACAGUUAACAUAACAACGUUAAUUAUAGUUUAUGAUUGAAGAACACAACUUGUUUUUAUAAAAUAAAUAUGUUGUAUUAAAAUAACAAAUUUUAACUAGUAAAUUCAACUUAAUUCAUCGUUAUCAUAAUUCAUCCUUUUCAUCAAAGUCAUACUCUUCUUGAAUGGGACUGUAAGGGCAGUAUUUCGCCUGAGCUCCGCAGAUUUGAGUGUCCAGUUCGUCGCUAAGUGUUGGAGCUUGCAAGGCUUUUAUGAUGAUUUCUUCAUGAUCGUCGAGUAUCUCCAAA